rnacentral:rRNA from 1 species
GCCUUGCCAGCCCGCUCAGAACUUAAAGGAAUUGACGGGGCCGCACAAGCGGUGGAGCAUGUGGUUUAAUUCGAUGAUACGCGAGGAACCUUACCUGGGCUCAAAUGUAUGUUGACGUAUUCUGAAAGGGAUACUUCUUCGGACAAUAUACAAGGUGCUGCAUGGUUGUCGUCAGCUCGUGCCGUGAGGUGUCGGGUUAAGUCCCAUAACGAGCGCAACCCCUAUCAUUAGUUGCCAUCAGGUUAAGCUGGGGACUCUAAAGGAACUGCCUACGCAAGUAGUGAGGAAGGCGGGGAUGACGUCAAAUCAGCACGGCCCUUACGUCCAGGGCUACACACGUGCUACAAUGGCCGAUACAGAGGGCAGCUACCUGGUGACAGGAUGCAAAUCUCCAAAGUCGGUCUCAGUUCGGAUCGGAGUCUGCAACCCGACUCCGUGAAGUUGGAUUCGCUAGUAAUCGCGCAUCAGCCAUGGCGCGGUGAAUACGUUCCCGGGCCUU